rnacentral:lncRNA from 1 species
UUGAUUUAUUAGCAGAAUAGUUCAGUCUGUCCGUAGAAAGGAUUUUUGCUAAGCCGAAGUCACUUAUAUGACCAACCAUUUCCUCAUCAAGUAGAAUAUUGCUUGGCUUGAGGUCACAAUGAAUGAUUGGUUCUUCACAAUGAUGGUGCAGAUAUUCGAGUGCAUGAGCAACAUCUAUAGCCAUACUUACUCUUUGGAAGAAGUUUAGGUUUCUCGCCGUCUCUGGUUCAUUCAUGCCAAUAACUGGAUGCAACCAGUCCUCCAAGCUUCCAUUUUCCAUGAACUCAUAAACCAAGGCUUUAAAAUCAUUGCCUUGGUCAUCGACUCCUGAAAUUGCUGUUAGUACCUUGACAAGAUUUCGAUGUCGGAUGUUCUUCAAGGCCUCGCAUUCAGCCAGGAAACUCCUAGAAGCUCCACGAUUCAGAAGAUUAAGCACCUUUACUGCAAUAACUGCUCCACUAGCUUCAAGAACUCCUUUGUAUACAGAACCAAAGCUUCCCGAACCAACCAAAUUCUGUGUGGAGAAUCCAUCCGUAGCCCUUAGGAUGCUUUGGUAUGAUAACUGUAAAAAGGAAUUUUCUACGCUAGUUGUUGUUGCCUGUUUCUCUUUCUUCUUUCUAAACCACAAGAUGAGGAGACAAGUAAAAGCCAGAGUCACUCCUAAAGUCACAACAAUAAUUGCAACUUUUAAUCGCAGAGAAUUGCUUGAUGAUGUUUUCAAGUUACAUCUUAACAUGUGUAAUUCGGGGAUGCCUCCACAGAGCUUACUGUUUCCCUCAACAAAUGUUGCACUGGCAUUCUUAAAGAUUCCUCCACUUGGUAUCACUCCUUCAAAAUUAUUAAAAGAGAGAUUUAAGUACCUUAAAGCCCCAAAUCUGACAAGAAAUUCUGGAAUCUCACCUGAAAGAUUAUUGUUGGAUACGUCUAAUGCCUCAAGUCCUCUCAGUGAACUCAAAGAUGAAGGAAUGGGCCCUUCAAACAAAUUGCCAUCCAAAAAUAGCUUCUCUAGGCUUACACAGCUACCAAGGCUGCUUGGAAGCAAACCAGAUAACUUAUUUUUGGAAACAUGGAACUCACCUAGACUUUUCAGAUUUGCUACAGCAACAGGAAGCUCACCAGUCAAAUAGUUUGAUGAUAAGUCUAAUGUAAUGGACAAGGAUGGGAGUCCAAGUACUUGAGGAUGUAUUGGUCCACUAAGAUUGUUAUGUGAAAGACCUAUUACAAGCAAAUUUUGGCAAUUACCUAGACUAGAGGGAAUCGUGCCCUGAAGAUUGUUAAAAUCUAAAGCAAGUUUGCUUAGCACUGUCAAAUUUCCAAUAGAAUGGGGAAUAUACCCAGACAAAGAAUUAUUAGAAGCAUAAAAUAUCUUUAGGUUCUGAAGCCUUCCAAUAUCAGAGGGAAUGGGACCCGAUAGUUGGUUUCUUGAUGCCCCUAGAGUCUCCAAAUUGAUAAGAUUUGCAAUCCCCUCCGGAAUUCUUCCCCAUAUUUUGUUUUGUUGUAUCACUAAUUGUAAAAGGUUGCUAGAAAAAUUGCUAACGCAUUCAGGAAACACCCCUCCCAAAUUAUUUAUGCCUAUAUCUAGAUAUUUUAAUGUGGUUUUGUUGACUAAAGUGCAAAUAAAGUUCAAGUCACCUUCUCUUCCAUAUCCCAAAUGGUUUUCGCCUAGAAAAAGCACAAACAGUUUUUCCAGCUUUUCUAAGGAAGGCACAUUUCCACUAAGUCUGUUCCCAUCAAGUUGAAGUUGAUAUAGAUUUGAGGCAUUGGAUAUGGAAAUAGGAAUUUCUCCAUAGAUUCGGUUUCCCCAUACAGAAAGGGCUCCAACAUAUGGCAUAGUGAUUGCUAAGUUAGGAUCAAGAGUACCUUGAAUCUCGUUCCCCCCUAUGGAGAAGGCUAUAAUAUUGGAUAGAUUGAACAUUGCGGUCGGAAUAAUACCAGAUAUUGCAUUUUCAUCUGCCGAGAACUGUGUUAGAUUUGUCAGUCGUCCAAGAGCUUCAGGUAGAAUCCCACUUAAUGCAUUAUAUGUGAAAUAAAGUUCCUCCAGGGAUGACAAGUUCCCCAAUGCAGGCGGGAUACUCCCUGUUAAACUGUUGUUGAUAAAACUCAAGAAUUUCAGCUUUGACAAGAGACCAAACGAACCAGGUAUUUCUCCUGUUAGCUGGUUGCUUCUCAUACGGACAAAUGUAAGCUUAGAGCAAGCAGAUAAGUUGGAAGGGAUUUCACCACGGAUGGAGUUAUUGAUCAGGUCUAAUAUUUCCAAUCUUCUUAAACGACCAAUUUCUUGAGGAAUCUGGUUGUAGAAGCUAUUACCCGCAAGAUUCAACUCUCUGAGAAAGCUCAAAUUUCCAAUGUAAGGUGAUAAAGAUCCCGAGACUUUGAGGAGUUGCAGUUCCAACUUGGUGACUCUCUGAUGCUUGCGACUGCAUGUAACACCAUACCAUUGGCAGAAGUGAAUGGAACUAUUCCAAGACUCCAUAACCUUAAGCUGAUCACUGGUUAUCUUGGAUUUGAAUUGGAGUAGAGCUUGUUGAUCAGUGUCAUUUCCUCUGAUCACUGUGGCUGCUGUUGCUAAACCAAGAAAGUAAUGACCCAGCGAGUUGAAGCAGGAGAGAAGAAUUAUAACUUCAGUGAACACCAGGAGAGAAGUGCUGGACGCUUCCAAAUGCUUUUUUGAUAGAUCCAUCGACCUGAAUCAGUUUCUUAAUUGAUGGUAUUGAUUUGUGUUUGAGACUACCUUGUUCAUCAACAAGAACGAAUAUGGAAAUCAAAUCUGACACAACAAACUUGCUGUGACUUUUUAUUGCUUUCCCUUACUUUCUAGGCUUAUCUUUAUAACUUCGUUAAAACAAAAACACCAUUGAUCUCUAAUGUGAAUCUAAAAUGAUCAGCUGUUGACAAUUGCCAUAUUUAUUUUUUAAUUGGCAAACAAAUUGAAAGCAAAUAUAAGGUAGAAAAACCAAAUUGCCUGUAAAUGUGUAUUGUUCCAGUUUCUUUAUAGGUAGUCUUUUUAUAUAUUUGUUAAAGGGCGCGCACUAAAUUUGGUAAAAAGGUCAACUUUUGUAUUUAUUCUUGUUUUUUUUAGUUCAAUUUGGUACCUAAAUUUGGUAACUAAAUUUUUUGUUCCUUAAACUUGGAUUUCAUUCAAAUUUGAUUAUGUGACCAAUUUUCUUGAAAUAUGAUUGAAUUAGUCGUUCGAACCAAUUGGACUGAGAAUAGACUAAUAGACUGAUACAAACAGGUUUAAUCAUUUUUUUUAAUUUUUAAAUUUUAUGAGUUUUUAAUUAUCUAUUUAAUAACUGUUGGUCUAAUAGUUGAACGGAUAUCAAAUUUAUUGAAUAUGAAACUAGUGGUCUGACUAAUUCAACCAUAGAUUCAAUUAUUAGACCAUUGUAUAAUACUAUACAAUGUCAUUGCCUGGAAAUUUAUAUAAUUUUUUAAAUUUUCAAGUGAUGAUGUGGCACAAUUCAAUAGUACCAUAUCAUGAAACUUUUAUAUUUGUAAGUUUAGAGAUCAAAAUAAACUCAGAUACAAAAAUGAACUUAGUUAUAAAAUUCAAGAGUAAAAAAUUAUAUUAUCUCUAUAUUUAACUAGAAUGAGAUAAUCUCAUACAUCACCAGCCGGCCUUUUUUAUUUUCUUUUUAUUUAUAUUUUCUUUGGGAUCGCGACUGCAUAGGUUUUGUCUAUGGUUACUUUCGAGAUUACCUGAUGAGACUGUUUUCUAAUUAGUCUUCCAAGCAAUAAUGCAACUUCAAAAGCAUUUGAACGAGUCUUGAAAAUCAUGGAAUCUGAAAUCGCCUGUUCACACUUCACAUGCUAAAAGUCAUUCAAGCUUUAUUAUUAUUAUCAUUUAUUAUUAAAAUAAAGUUCCCUAGAGUUUUUGCUUUGGCAAUUAAUAAAACGGGGAAAAUUGCUGAGUUUGGUCCUGUUAGACUGUUAGUAACGACUAGUGGGAAUGGAAUAUUGAUUUUAGAAAGGCAACUUUUUGACUGGGAAAGGAACCGAGGGGCUGACUUCUGGCAACUCAUCCAUAGUUGAGUCCUUGAUGUGUCGAGAUCGGACCGUUUGCUGUGGAAGGCGGCAUCGAAUGGACAUUACUCCUCCAAAUCCUACUAUCAAACGGGCCGGCCUUGCCCCGUUGAAAGUCGAGUCUUUAACUGGAUGUUAAUUCGCAAUAGGCUGCCAUGUAAAGUUAGUAAAGUGUGGUGUAAUCUCUUGGAAAACGGCUGCUUGCCCCUUUUGCCUUAAGUUAGUAUUAAGAAGAGCGUAAUUGCCCUUGUCUACAAUAAACUUUGUGGUUAUAAACUGAUGUCAUUCCCAAUUGGUUUAAGUACCUGUUGGAGUCAUAAGUUAAUCAUUAGACUUUAACAAGGCCUUAAAAAUAUUAAACAAAAUAUUUGAAAGGCCCUUACCAAAAACCAAAUGCAAAUGUAUACGACACUAAUUGGCCACAAUGUUAUAAGCCCCACCCGAUUCACUAACCCAUGCACCAGACCAUGGUGCAAAUUUGUCAAUAGUAUUUGAAACAUCUUUAAAUGUCUGAGCAAUUUGAGUCAAGAAAAAUGGAUAUUGGACACGACAAACCAGAUCUGGGUUAUUACUUCCAUUAAUCAUCUAUAAUAUUAGAAAACUCAUGGAACAACAAUAAAUAAUAAUAAUAUUUUUAAUGAUAUAUAGAUAGAUACCAGGUCCAAGAUUAUAAAUAUGAUGUGUAACUCCAUCAAUAACGUCAUGUCCUGAAGCAUCCAAAAAAGUAUCAAACCAUUUCUUGUUUUUUAAGCUUAUUUGCCUAAACAAAACAAAGAUUUCGUUUCUUGUUUUUUAAGCUUAUUUGCCUAAACAAAACAUAAACAAGCAAGCACUUAGCCUGACAAGAUUCCAUUCUUAUGGCACCAUAGAUACCUGCAACUUAAGAAAGCAAGGAAACCUCUUUUACUACUUCAUAUCAUCUAAAACCAACAUUCAUCUCAAAAUUAGUAGUGGAAAUAUGCCUUGAGUAAUUAAAUGAUUGAGUAUUUUGUUAAGAUAAGAAAAUAAUAUUACCUGGUGAUUGAGCAAUAUAUUUAAGUUCCAAUAUCAAAUCGUAAUCAAGUUGGAUGAAGCUUGUCUCUAAUUUUACAAAGUUUGGUAACAACAUCACUCAUGUCAAUACGCUCAUGCGGUGAUUUUGAAGAACAAGUGAGUCCGAUUUCAAAUAUUGAAUUCCAGCAUCGAAGAUCUAUAUCACUCCCUAGGCUAUUUUCGUUGAGAGUUUCUCGUUCGAUUCUUUCUUGAAGAAGAAUGGGAUCUAUAAUGUCAGUAACUCGUUCGGGCAAAGCUUCCUUGACAAAAUUGUGAAGACUUAAACCUUCUUUGAACCCUUCAUCGGUUGGCCUUUUACCCGUAAACAUCUCUAGCAAAAGAAUGCCAAAGCUAUACACAUCACCUUUCGUUGACAACUCGUUUCCCAUGCCAUAUUCUACAAUUAAUUCAUCACAAAUUACAUAUAGAAAUAACUACAGAGGGAAACCCACUUAAUAUACGGAAAAGUGUUUUUAGAUUGUAUGCUUUACUAUUAAAUAAUUGAAGAAAUUAAUUAAUUGAAAUUACCUGGUGCAGCAUAACCAAUAGUUCCUCUUAGUCCAAGGGAGCUUGAUUUAUUAUCAGAAUAGUUCAGUCUGUCCGUAGAAAGGAUUUUUGCUAAGCCGAAGUCACUUAUAUGACCAACCAUUUCCUCAUCAAGUAGAAUAUUGCUUGGCUUGAGGUCACAAUGAAUGAUUGGUUCUUCACAAUGAUGGUGCAGAUAUUCGAGUGCAUAAGCAACAUCUAUAGCCAUACUUACUCUUUGGAAGAAGUUUAGGUUUCUCGCCGUCUCUGGUUCAUUCAUGCCAAUAACUGGAUGCAACCAGUCCUCCAAGCUUCCAUUUUCCAUGAACUCAUAAACCAAGGCUUUAAAAUCAUUGCCUUGGUCAUCGACU